CCACCAACCGUCCACUCCAGUAGUCCCACGCCACCCACCCUGAGCCAGAUCUAGAUCGAAAUCCCCCCACCCACCAGCGGUCUCCCGUCCCCCCCUUCCUCAACCUCCUCUCCUCUGCUGUCCAUCGGAGGCCCCCGCACACAAGGGAAACUGCUGCUCGGCGUCUCCAGCAGCCAAGGACGGGCUCCCGGCCUCCGCACGGCGUCGUCUCUUCCUUCCCCAUUGCCAUCUGUCACCGUCGUCGUUCCGGUCCGGCCCUUCGCGCCGCAGGGAUGGCAGCUGCUUGGACGCGGACGACACACGAUCGAGUGGGGGAGAGGGAGACAGGAUGAUGGACGCCUAUACGGGUGUGGGGGAUCCCUGACAGCGGAUCGAGAGCAGCAUGAGCUGUAUUUGUAUGCCCGUCCGUGAUUGAAGUGUCUCUGUUGAAUACAUCUAAUCUGAACAAUUUCACAUUUGCUUCUCUGAUAAGUAAGGUCUGUUUUCAUUUACAGGUAGAAGAUAGCGACAGAGUGGGAAGGUUUGUGCAAAGUUCUUCUCCUCCGUCGCCGUCCGUGACAAAGCUGUUGGGUGCAUCCGUCCAUCAUCUUCACAGAUCUGAGUGAAGAGGGCAUCCGUCCAUCUCAAAAGAGAGCCUUGUAGCAAUGAUUCUUGGUGAAAACGCCCUGUCCUCGAUACCCCCUGGUUCAUGGUAAUUACUCGACAUUUUGGAAAUGAAACUGACAGAGUUUCGUUCCUAGAUAUUUCUUUGAGCAAAUAUUACAACUGGAACGCAGAAUUCUGAUUGCAGUCACAAGUCAUGUGGAGUUCGAACUGUUAGUGAACAUAGGUCCUACGUUUGUAGGUUAAGUGCGAGCAAUUUCUAGGAGUAUGAGACCUCAGCUUCAAUAGGUUAUCUUCGGUUGCAUUGUAGCUAAAUUCCUCAUUUAGUUUGUUUUCUUAGGCCAAUGUCGUCCAGAAAAUUCAGAAUUUGUAUACAGUUUCUAUUAAUUAUAGCCAAUUGGGUAGCGGAUUUAAUAUGGCUAGGAAACCUCUGCCCAGACCCCCUCUCACCACCCUCUUCCUCUUAACUUAAUAGGUUUACCACUUUCUGCAUAUAGGGAGCAUGUUCUUAUCAAUUUACUCAUUUCUUUUGUAGGCGAUGGCUCCACGACAUCUACAAUCAGUAUUUGCAUGUUCUUAGCAUACAAAUCUGGGAGAAUGUACUAGCUGCAUAUAUUGGUUCUUGGGUUUACUAUUAGAGCUUUUUAUCUGCAUAUAUAUAUAUACAUAGGAGUGAGAAUGCCCAGGUAUGCGACCCUAAAUUUAGUUUCACGGCUUUCUUACUCGUGGGAUUUAUCCAAUUAAUAACUAUAAUGGAUUAAUGAGAAAAAGACAAGGGAAAUUAGCUUUAUAAAAAUGAAACUAUUCAUGGUAAACAUUUGGCAGAAGAGAAUCACAAAAUGAACAACAGCCUCCCUCACGGGAAACAUCAGGUGUGGUAAAAUGCUCACUUCAAAAAUAGAAACUAGAGAUUACUUCCUAGUUUCCUUUUGCCUCGUUGCUACUGGUGUUGUCUGUUUAGGUAACCCUCUGCCUCAUGGUGUUCAGCUGGUUGGCACCAAUCUGAUAAGUAUACAUAAAGUGAAUUUGAGUUAUAUAAAUAUGCUAACUGUCUACAAGACAUCACUAACAUAGAACAAAAUGAUGUAGUCUAGAGUUCAACAUGACUUUGUUUUUUCUGCUCUUUUUCGUAAGCAUACCAAAGCGAAUCCAGCCUCAAGCCUUUGAAAGUUUGAACCAUUGAUCUGCUCUAUGCUCCCUAUCCAUUUUCACAUCAGUUAGGUGCAUCGACAUUGACAUCUACACGGGGCUGGGGUGGCGGCGUUGACGGCAUCAACAUCGACACGGGGCUGCUGCAGCGAUGACGACGGCAUCCUCAAGGUGCUGUGGCACCGACCACGACGACGACAACAUCAUCACGGUGCUGCGGCGGCGGCGACACCGACGACAUCAACACGGGCUUGUGGAGGUGCCGACGCUGACGACCUAUACGCGUGGCGUAUAUUGUAUAUAUAUGUGUGUGUAUUAAUUAUCUAUAUCAAAUAUGUAUUAUUGACUGUAUGCAAAACAUGUACUAUUAUGUAAUGCAUGUUACAUGAGUACUAUGAAAUGUAUGUCUAAAGUGGAA